rnacentral:rRNA from 1 species
GACGAACGUUGGCGGCGUGCUUAAUACAUGCAAGUCAACUGAAGCAGUGGUAGCAAUAUCGCUGUGGAGGUGGCGCACGGGUGAGUAACACGUAGGUAAUCUGCCUUCAGGUCUGGCAUAACUCCGGGAAACCGGGGCUAAUAGCAGAUGAUGCAGCGGCUCGACAUCGAGACAGUUGUUAAAGCUAUGGCGCCUGAAGAUGAGCCUGCGUCUGAUUAGCUAGUUGGCGGGGUAACGGCCCACCAAGGCAACGAUCAGUAGCUGGUCUGAGAGGAUGAUCAGCCACACUGGAACUGAGACACGGUCCAGACUCCUACGGGAGGCAGCAGUAAGGAAUAUUGCUCAAUGGGAGAAAUCCUGAAGCAGCAACGCCGCGUGAGGGACGAAGGGCUUUGGCUUGUAAACCUCUGUAGUGAGAGAAAAAUAUCCCAAUCUUUGGGACAUGAUGGUAUCUCAAAAGUAAGCCCCGGCUAACUACGUG